rnacentral:pre_miRNA from 1 species
UAAUAUAUCUGAUAGAUUUUCAUCUAGUUAUAAUAGAUUUAUAUCUGAUUAUUCAAAAUCAUCCGCAACUCUGACUAUAUCUUUGUCACUCAUAAAAUAUGGAUUUGGAUAUGAAAUGGUGAAUUGAUU